rnacentral:rRNA from 1 species
GACGAACGCUGGCGGCGUGCUUAACACAUGCAAGUCGAACGGAAAGGCCCUGCUUUUGUGGGGUGCUCGAGUGGCGAACGGGUGAGUAACACGUGAGUAACCUGCCCUUGACUUUGGGAUAACUUCAGGAAACUGGGGCUAAUACCGGAUAGGAGCUCCUGCUGCAUGGUGGGGGUUGGAAAGUUUCGGCGGUUGGGGAUGGACUCGCGGCUUAUCAGCUUGUUGGUGGGGUAGUGGCUUACCAAGGCUUCGACGGGUAGCCGGCCUGAGAGGGUGACCGGCGACAUUGGGACUGAGAUACGGCCCAGACGCCUACGGGAGGCAGCAGGGGGGAAUAUUGCACAAUGGGCGGAAGCCUGAGGCAGCAACGCCGCGUGCGGGAUGACGGCCUUCGGGUUGUAAACCGCUUUCGCCUGUGACGGAGCGUGAGUGACGGUAAUGGGUAAAGAAGCACCGGCUAACUACGUG